GCAACGCCGCGUGAAGGAUGAAAUCCCUCGGGAUGUAAACUUACGCAAAGAACGGGAAGAAUAAGUUUGUGCUAAUACCACAAGCGAUGACGGUACUGUUUGUAAGCUCCGGCUAACUCCGUGCCAGCAGCCGCGGUAAUACGGGGGAGCAAGCGUUGUUCGGAUUUACUGGGCGUAAAGGGCGCGUAGGCGGCCUCCGCAAGUCAGUUGUGAAAUCUCCGAGCUUAACUCGGAAAGGUCAACUGAUACUGCGGGGCUAGAGUGCGGAAGGGGCAACUGGAAUUCUUGGUGUAGCGGUGAAAUGCGUAGAUAUCAAGAGGAACACCUGCGGCGAAGGCGGGUUGCUGGGCCGACACUGACGCUGAGGCGCGAAAGCUAGGGGAGCGAACGGGAUUAGAUACCCCGGUAGUCCUAGCCUUAAACGAUGAAUGCUUGGUGUCUGGGGUUAUAAAGUCCCCGGGUGCCGUCGCUAACGCUUUAAGCAUUCCGCCUGGGGAGUACGGUCGCAAGACUG
rnacentral:rRNA from 1 species